GCUGACCUAGAGCCCAAAUUUGACCCGAUUCCACGGGCCGACCAGAGGCGACCCGACCCGAAGCAAAGCUGGGACAAAGCCGAAGGGAUCGAAAGGCUCCUCCUUGAUCAGCUGCUGCUGCUUCCCGCUUCAUUUCAAGCUCGCGAUCACAGCGUCGUUCCACUUCAAUCCGUCUCGUGUCGAGCUCGAGCUCGGAAAGGGAGGGCAGCCCAGCGGAUUCAUGGAUUCUUCCGACGCCAAAAGCUCAGCGAAGGCGGCCGCUGCCAAACCCGAUGGGGUGGACCGCGAUUUGGGUGGAUACGGGAAAAGGAAGCCUUUCCAAGUUAGCGUCCGGGAUGACCGGCCUUUGGAUUUUUGGCGAAUAGUGUGUGAGGGCGUUGUUGCUGGAGGUACUGCUGGUGUCGUUGUUGAAGCAGCACUUUACCCAAUUGACACCAUCAAAACUAGACUUCAGGCAGCUCAUGGCGGUGGAAAAAUUGCAUUGAGGGGCCUUUACUCUGGCCUGGCUGGGAAUCUUGCUGGUGUUUUACCGGCUUCUGCAAUAUUCGUUGGUGUCUAUGAACCAACAAAACAGAAAUUGCUAAGAGCCUUUCCAGAUAACUUAAGUGCGCUUGCUCAUUUGACUGCAGGUGCACUUGGGGGGCUUGCUUCUUCUCUUGUUCGUGUACCCACUGAGGUGGUUAAACAAAGAAUGCAGACUCGGGAAUUUGCUUCUGCCCCUAGUGCUGUCCGUCUCAUUAUUGCCAGAGAGGGUUUUAGGGGCCUUUACGCAGGAUACGGGUCCUUUUUAUUGCGAGAUUUGCCAUUUGACGCCGUUCAGUUUUGCAUUUAUGAGCAGCUUCGCAUAGGCUACAGGAUUGUGGCCAGGAGAGAAUUGAAAGAUCAUGAAAAUGCUAUGAUUGGUGCUUUUGCUGGUAAAGUUUAUGCCUGUGCUUUCUUUUCUUUUCUUUUUGAUGAAAUACCUGAUAUUCUUGGCUAUCAAUCAAGGUUAUAUCUUUUUUGUUCUCAUAGACUGGGUUGCAAUCUGGCUGACUAUUUUAUUUGAAAAGUUUGAUCUUAGAGUUAAGCUACACAUGUAGAAUGCAAGUGCAAACUAUUGUCAUGGUAAAAAAUAAAAUAGCAGUAACCUAUGCCUUCAUGUUGAAUUGCAGAUGUACAACCCUUAAUCAAGGUUAUCAACAGAUAACCAAUGGCCUAUAUUGUUACUAACUGAAAAUGUAGAACUUUUGGCUGUUGAUAAGUGGUUGAUGUUGCUUACCAUCAAAAACCAGAUCGAUUUAAAGAGAGAUACAUGUAAAAGAUUAAAAUGAUGAAACCUCUAUACUGUAUGUAAGUAGUAAUGUCUUGUGAACUGGAGGGAUGGAAAAAAAAUUUACUCCCUCCAUAGAGUUCAGAAUUUCUGUGACAUAAGGGAAUACACCAAAAUUAGAAUUACCAUCUAUUAGGUUUAUACUUGACUAUAGUUUUUGUAGGGGUACUGCAUCUGCUCUAGAUACUGCUACUUAUUUGAUUUAUAUCAACGGUCUAAAAUUCAGAUAUUCUGUCGGAGCUCCAAUCCAUCUGUGAUGCAUGACUAGCUGUUACUGUAAUCACUGUAAUCACUGUCCUAAAAUAUCCUAACACCUGGCAAAGAAUUUGUCAUUUACUUUCAGUAGAAAUGUACUGCUACUUUGUUUUAUAACACCUCCUCUUGGUUUCAGUUCCAAUGAGGCAACCUUGUUGGUAAAAUUCAUGUCCGUCCUAUUAGCUGAGAGGCUAACCACAAUAUGAAGAUAUCUUAGUUCGUAAACAGCAUCGAUUGGGGCCUGCCCAUUAUGGAGUGCGAUUACUGGAGCCAUAACAACUCCUCUUGAUGUGAUAAAGACUAGAUUGAUGAUUCAGGGAGCAACAAAACAGUAUAGAAGUAUUUCCCAUUGUGUCAAGAACAUUAUCCAAGAAGAAGGACCUGCUGCUC